UAAUUAAUACAGGUGAGAGGGCCCAUUCGGCCUGCCAGGUGUUCCUGGACUACAACUCCCAUCAGCCCCAACAAGCAUGGCCAAUGGUCAGGGGUGAUGGGAGUUGUAGUCCAGCAACACCUGGAGGGCCAAAUGGGUCCUCUCACUUGUAUUAGUUA